UACGAAGGGGGCUAGCGUUGUUCGGAAUUACUGGGCGUAAAGGGCGCGCAGGCGGCCCUCCAAGUCAGGCGUGAAAGCCCCGGGCUCAACCCGGGAACAGCGCUUGAGACUGGGGGGCUUGAGUUCGGGAGAGGAGAGUGGAAUUCCCAGUGUAGAGGUGAAAUUCGUAGAUAUUGGGAAGAACACCGGUGGCGAAGGCGGCUCUCUGGACCGACGACUGACGCUGAGGCGCGAAAGCG
rnacentral:rRNA from 1 species